CGGGGUUGACCUAAUAACUCAGUGUCCGUUAAAUUGUCAGGAUCAACGUCUAGGUUAAGUUUCAAAACACAGCAACAAGAUUUACUAUCUUUUUGUGGAAGCACCGUAGCCUAGUGGUUAUGGUUUAAGGGCUUCUACACCCAGGUCUGGGGUUCAAAUCCCAGACUAUGCAAUUUCUUGCAGAUUGCACAGGAAAUCCAGGUUUCAAUUCCCGGAGCAAGCGAUUUAUUCAACAAUUAUGCGAUUACGGAAGAAAGGCUUACAAGAGUUUCUCAACAUGGUGCAAGUAAAUCCGGUCAGGCGUGAUCUUCAUAGGACGGCUCAAAUGAUGCAGUUAGGCGUAGAUCCUCAUAAGGCAGGUAAUAUUGUCGGUUAUCAAAUCGUCUUUGUAAUCUUUCUCAUAAUUGUAAUAUCUAAAUAAAUCCCCGACAAAAAAAAAAUUUACUAUCUUUUUACUUCUUUUUUUUUCUUUUUUUUUUACUUCCACAAGCAUAAAUUACAGAUUUUAUACACCUAUCUAUCCAAUAACUCCGUCAGAUUAAAAUGGGACCCACAUAAUCACAGUUAGGAUUCGGAAUGAUAAACCAAAGCAAACACCUACUAGAUAACUUUUGAAGCCUGUCUGAUUCCUUCCACAUUCAUUACUAACAGAUAUUUGUCUUUCAUUCCGCCAAGUAUACUAGUUAGCCACGUCACGCAAUUGUUUUUUCCUAGUGGUCGCAAGUGGGUCCCGACUAUUUUAUCCUUCCUAUUAUAUUGGACACAAAAUAGAUAAAUACUCCGAUAGUCCGAUGUAUAAUGGACGGCCUCAAGUGAAUAGGUCUAUAUUCAAUUUCACCGUGAGAAGAACUGAAUGUUAUACUUAUAUCUUUUUUUUGAUCACUUACAAUUUGUGUUAUCGAAUAUUCAUUUCGUUGUCUUAAUCAAC
rnacentral:lncRNA from 1 species